GACAGCCAGGGUGCUGCUGUUUCCACAUAGCGCUGUGUCAGAAAGCCCAGAGCGACGGGUUCCUUGACGGUCGCCACUCUCUUUGCUGUAACUGUCUGCAGCAUUUAGGGAAAAGGCAGUU